CUUCAAUUCCCGUUGAUCCUGCGGGAGGUUGCUGCUAUUCGGAUUCGACUUAGACAUGCAAGUUUACUCUCUUCGGAGGGUGGCAAACUGCUCAGUAACACGUCAAUAAUCUGCCCUUAAGUCUGGAAUAACCUCGGGAAACUGGGGCUAAAACCGGAUAAGAAAAUUCUACUGGAAUGUGUUUUUUCUCAAAGGUAACGCUUAAGGAUGAAUUGGCGUCCGAUUAGGCUGUUGGUAGGGUAGUGGCCUACCAAACCUACAAUCGGUAUGGGUCUUGAGAGAGAUAGCCCAGAGAAGGACACUGAGAAACUGGUCCUAGCCCUACGGGGUGCAGCAGUCGCGAAACCUUUACAAUGCACGCAAGUGUGAUAAGGGAAUCCGAAGUGCUUACACAUAGUGUAGGCUUUUUUCAAUGGUAAAUACAUUGAAGAAUAAGUGGUGGGUAAGACUGGUGCCAGCCGCCGCGGUAACACCAGCGCCACAAGUGGGAACCACGUUUAUUGGGCUUAAAGCGUUCGUAGCAGGUUUGAUAAAUCCUUUGUGAAAUCGUUGCCCUUAAUGCAACGGCGUGCAGAGGACACUGUCAAACUAGGAACCGGGAGGGGUCAGGAGUAUGCCAGGGGGAGCGGUAAAAUGCUAUAAUCCUUGGUGGACUACCUUUGGCGAAGGCGCCUGACUAGAACGGAUUCGACUGUGAGGAACGAAAGCUAGGGGAGCGAUCCGGAUUAGAUACCCGAGUAGUCCUAGCCGUAAACGCUGUGGGCUAGAUAUUGCAUUUUCUCCGUGAAAAUGCAGUGUCGAAGCGAAAGUAUUAAGCCCACCGCCUGGGAAGUAUUGUCGCAAGACCGAAACUUAAAGGAAUUGGCGGGGGAGCACUACAACAGGUGCGGCGUGCGGUUUAAUCUAACUCCACGCAGAGAAUCUCACCAGAAGCGACGGCAGGAUGAAGGUCAGGCUAAUGGUCUUACUUAACGAGCCGAGAGGUAUUGCAUGGCCGCCGUCAGCUCGUACCGUGAGGUGUCCGGUUAAGUCCGGCAACGAGCGAGACCUAUACCUACAAUUGCUAACGAGCUUAGCGAUCGAGCACAUUGUGGGGACUGCCCUUGAAAAGGGGAGGAAGGUGUAGGCAACGGUAGGUCUGUAUGGUCCGAAUCUUCUGGGCUACACGCGCGCAACAAUGGUUGGGACAAUGGGAUGCAACUCCGAAAGGAGAAGCUAAUCCUCUAAACCCAAUCGUAGUACGGAUUGAGGAUUGUAACUCAUCCUCAUGACGCCGGAAUCUGUAGUAAUCGGAUUUUAUCAUAGUCCGGUGAAUACGUCCCUGCUCCUUGCACACACCGCCCGUCAAGCCAGUCGAGCAGGGUCUAGGUGAAGCUUAGCCUAUUAGCUAAGACGAACCUAGGCUCAGUGAGAAGGGUUAAGUCGUCACAAGGUAUCCGUAGGGGAACCUGCGGAUGGAUCACCUCCUU
rnacentral:rRNA from 1 species